GACAGAGGGUGCAAACGUUGUUCGGAUUUACUGGGCGUAAAGCGCGUGUAGGCGGCUUGGCAAGUCGGAUGUGAAAGCCCACGGCUCAACCGCGGAAGCGCAUCCGAAACUGCUUCGCUCGAGUCUCGGAGAGGAAGGUGGAAUGCUUGGUGUAGAGGUGAAAUUCGUAGAUAUCAAGCAGAACACCUGCGGCGAAGGCGGCCUUCUGGACGAUGACUGACGCUGAGACGCGAAAGCGUGGGGAGCAAACAGG
rnacentral:rRNA from 1 species